rfam:Blumeria graminis f. sp. tritici 96224 unplaced genomic scaffold Scaffold-10126, whole genome shotgun sequence.
GGCCUGAUAGUUCAGUGGUAGAAUUCUUGCUUUGGGUUCCCUAUAUGUAAGAGGUCUCCGGUUCGAUCCCGGAUUAGGCCC